UAGGGAAUCUUCGGCAAUGGACGAAAGUCUGACCGAGCAACGCCGCGUGAGUGAAGAAGGUUUUCGGAUCGUAAAACUCUGUUGUUAGAGAAGAACAAGGACGUUAGUAACUGAACGUCCCCUGACGGUAUCUAACCAGAAAGCCACGGCUAACUACGUGCCAGCAGCCGCGGUAAUACGUAGGUGGCAAGCGUUGUCCGGAUUUAUUGGGCGUAAAGCGAGCGCAGGCGGUUUCUUAAGUCUGAUGUGAAAGCCCCCGGCUCAACCGGGGAGGGUCAUUGGAAACUGGAAGACUUGAGUGCAGAAGAGGAGAGUGGAAUUCCAUGUGUAGCGGUGAAAUGCGUAAAUAUAUAGAGGAACACCAGUGGCGAAGGCGGCUCUCUGGUCUGUAGCUGACGCUGAGGCUCGAAAGCGUGGGGAGCAAACAGG
rnacentral:rRNA from 1 species